UACGAAGGGGGCGAGCGUUGUUCGGAAUUACUGGGCGUAAAGGGCGCGUAGGCGGCCGAUCAAGUUAGAUGUGAAAGUCCUGGGCUUAACCUGGGGACUGCAUUUGAUACUGAUUGGCUUGAAUUCGGGAGAGGAUAGCGGAAUUCCCAGUGUAGAGGUGAAAUUCGUAGAUAUUGGGAAGAACACCGGUGGCGAAGGCGGCUAUCUGGACCGACAUUGACGCUGAGGCGCGAAAGCGUGGGGAGCGAACCGG
rnacentral:rRNA from 1 species